UAAUAUUGUGUGUGUAGGGUCUUAGUUGGUGCAGUAUAAAUUUCCUAAAUUUUCCCUCUUCUUCCCGCCCCGUGGAUUCAAUUUUGUUUUCCCUCCUCCUUUCUCUCCAUUAUUUCCCUUCAUGAAAAGGAGAAAGGAAUAGAAGAAAAUGGUUGGAGUGAACAAUUUUGCGAAGACAAUUUGUUCAAUAUGUUAUGAAGAUCAAAACCCUAUUAUCGAAGAUCUCCAAUCCGUUACUAUUUGCGGUCACGUUUUUCACGAACUAUGUCUUCAGCAAUGGUUUGAAUACUGCGCAAAAAAUGUGAAAAAGAAGAAUUGUCCAGUCUGCAAACAGGCUUGUUCAGAAGAAAAUGCAACUAGGCUUUAUUUCCAAUCUAUUGGCGAUCCAAAUGAUACAAGUCUCACCCAGAAACCUCGUGAUUAUGAAGAGGAUCAUCGGGAAUUGAGAAAUGAGGUCAAAAGGUUGGAAGGGAAAGUUUUACGACUGACUUCCACUUUGGAAAAACAGCUGAAAGAUCUCAAAGAAGUCAAUGCAGAGCUGUUCACAUGCAAGGAGGAGUUGAAAAUGGAAGUGACUCUAAAGGAUGAAGCUGUGAAACAGGAGGCAGCCAUGCAGCAGUUGCUACAUCUUAAAUCCAAGGAGCUAGAUCGAUCAACUUUGGAGUGCAUAAGGCUACAAGAUAGAAAUAUGGCUCUAGCUAAGGAGCUUGCAACACUCAAGUUAGUCUGCGAUUUUAGCUUGGAGGAAGAAGAGGUCUUGAAACUUGCUUCAUUAGGAAAUGAUGUCAAUAGCAAAGACACAAUUGAUGUCCUGAAAAAAUCAUUGGUCAUCCGUAACAAAAGUUACAAAGAACUAAUGACCAAGUGCAACAGGCAAGAGGCUCGUUCUCUCAGGAAACUUCAGAAAGCUAAAGAGAAGAAAAAUAAGUUGAAGGUUAGGGUCCAAGAACUUGAGAUGGCACUUGAAGGAAAAGAUAAUGAAAUUUUGAGAAUGUCGAAAGCCUCCAAGAAAAACUACCAGGGAAGUAAAGAACCAAAAGUUGACAGAGAUUCAUAUGAGAAUCAGAAUAAGGCACCUGCUGAGACAGAAGAAGAUUUAUGCAUGGUAACUGGAUCAUGUGAUGAUUUAUCUAGACCAAGGAGAAAAAGAAAGUAUAAGUCUAAGGAUAGGAGUAUACUAAACACGGCAGAAGAUAUUAUAGCUAGCAGUCUUCACAAAAAUAAUCACAACAAAGACUCUUCCAUGAGAAACAAAGAUGGAGGCACUUCAGAGACUUCCACUUAUCUGCAUGAAGUAGCAAACCAAAACUUGCAUCAAUCAAUUGGCCCUAAGAAGGCUGUCCAUGAUGGAAGUCUAGUGCACGGAUCAGGAAAUAAAGAUGGAACGUCAGGCUCAAGGAAUUGUAGUAAGAAAAGUACAGAAAACAUGCCCCCUGUGAUUAUUCUUGAUGAUGAUGAUACUGACCUUCCACCUCUAGAUGACAUUACACAGCACCAGCCCUCAUUUCACACCAGGAAAGAGACUUCUUCACCCGUUGUACUUGCCCAACCAGGAGACAGCUGCUUUUCUGGUGGAUUGUUAGGUCCUGAUGGGACUUACUGGCACUUGGGAAAAUGGUGUAAGAGAAGGUAAAGGACAAGGGAUCUGGAUCACUGUCUUGAGGACUGCAAGGAUCAGGUGCGAGUGCCGGUGAUUUGAUUGCUCAUGACAAUAGUGAGAGUUUGCCAUCAUUCAAUAGAUAAAAGUACGACACCAAAUCAAGUAGUUCCCAGUCUCAAAGAUGCUUGCGAAUAUAUAGCUUCGUCAGAAGGGCCAGUUUACCUCCUGUAAAAUAUCCAUCAAAGAUGUUGGGAAUCCAUUCCUUGUACAGUGUUUAGGCGUUUCAUUUUAGCAAUCUAGUUAUACUGUCAUUUGAUUGAUUAGUUUUUGCUCGAUCAAUACAUAUUGAAAGUCGCAUUCUUUGUGGUUUCGAAGAUAGUGAAACAGUUUUCCAUGCAAGCAUGCACUUCAGUUUUAUAGUUGCUUACUACGGGAAGGUGCUACGUGGUGUGUGGUCUAUUUGUGUUAGUGCUCCAUGGUUUUGCAUUGACAAUUGGGGUGUUGGGGGGGGGGGGGGUUGUUGUGCAGACCAUUUCGUAUUUAGCCGACUUUAUAGUGCUAAAUUUGCCUCAAUUUAUUCAUAAGAUAAGUGUUGCAUCUCCUACCUAAUGCAAUUGAUCGACCCAAUGCUUCACUUACUGUAGCAUGUCAUAGUUCUCUUACUUUUGCCCGACCAACUGUGCUCUUCUGAUGGAUGGUCCAGAUUUGCACUUUUUGCACACUAACAUGGAGACAUGGUAGGGACGAUCCCUGGACUCUUUGGUCAUUAUUGUGUAAGGAGUAAUGAUAUUUACAUAAAAUAGUGGUUGAAUGUACAUGAACAUAAACUAGAAAACUUAACAGAACUCUCUUGAUGUGCAUUUCUCAUUCCAUUGGUUGCUUGCUACCAACUAUAUACUUGAAGGGAUGAUUCUUGCUCAUCGGAUGAACCUGCUCAGUCGCGUCCUGUGCUUCUUCCUUGCUACCUUUCAACCUCCUCCUGCUGCUUCUUAUGUUUUAUGAAAGAUCUUGUGUUUUUUUUUUUCCUAUGUUUUUCUCUAGUGUCAUAGUCUUUUACCUGUAUGGAGAAAGUAAUUAUACACCCUUCCUAUUCUUUUGGUAUUCAGUUGUUCGUUUGCUGUACUGUAGAAAAACUUUGUUUUUUUGUUCAUUUGGUUAUGUAGUCUAGUUUCUGCUGGUUUCCCAAUCUGAGCGGUCCUUUGCAAAUCUCUGUGGGAGAAACAUGUUCAAUUGAUGAGAUUAUUUGGAACAUAAGUUUUGCCAGCUUGUAUGUAUUCAUCAGGGCUUUGACACAUGUUCAAUUGAUUAUUCUCAUUUUAUUUUUAUUUUGUUUCUUCAAAAGAAUUAUAUUAUUAUCCAAUGGAAGUUCAUUGGCGUAAA